rnacentral:rRNA from 1 species
UACAGAGGUGGCAAGCGUUGUUCGGAAUUACUGGGCGUAAAGGGCGCGUAGGCGGUCAGGUCAGUCCCGUGUGAAAUCCCUCGGCUCAACUGAGGAACUGCACGGGAAACUACCUGGCUUGAGUUCGGGAGAGGGAAGCGGAAUUCCGGGUGUAGCGGUGAAAUGCGUAGAUAUCUGGAGGAACACCGGUGGCGAAGGCGGCGUCCUGGACCAACACUGACACUGAGGAGCGAAAGCCAGGGGAGCAAACGGG